UGGUUCCUACGGGGGGCAGCAGUGGGGGAUAUUGCACAAUGGGGGAAACCCUGAUGCAGCGACGCCGCGUGUGGGAAGACGGUCCUCUGGAUUGUAAACCACUGUCCCCAGGGACGAAAAUGACGGUACCUGGGGAGGAAGCUCCGGCUAACUACGUGCCAGCAGCCGCGGUAAUACGUAGGGAGCGAGCGUUGUCCGGAAUUACUGGGUGUAAAGGGAGCGUAGGCGGGGAUGCAAGUUGGGGGCCAAAACUACCGGCUC
rnacentral:rRNA from 1 species